GCAACUCUAGAUCUAAUAAGAUACGGGAGGGGGUUGCUGGUUGAUGCGCCAAUCUCGAAGGAAGUCAAACAUGUUCCUCUGUUGUUGCUCUAUCGAGUCGAGACGCCCGUCAAUUGUUGUCAAAUGUUGGCGGAUCUCCUGAUACUCCUCUUGAGAGCAUGUAUCUGGCUCGAAAGGGGAUGCCUGAGUAUGAUGUGGUGAGGGUAGCGCUAGAAAAGGCAUCAAAAGAUCAUAGAUCCACAUUAGAUCAGACCCAAGUGAGCUCAAAUCUAGAUUUAAAUGAGGAGAUCAAGCUCUGGAACCAUCUAAACUGCUCAUUCAAGAUCUGGAGCGAUCUAACCCAUACAUCAGAGAUUUACUCUAUCCAAGCCAAGGGGAAGUAUAUCACAACCAUCGAUCAGGAUCUGAAGUCCUAGAUUAAGAUUUGAACUGAUUCCCACCAUUGGAUCAGAUCUAAGUUGAUUAGAGUCGUUGAUCCAGAUCUGGUGAGAUUUAAAAAGGGAAUGAAUAGCUACAGUUGUGGGCUUCAUCAAAUUGCUACGGAGGCAAUUGCUCAAAAUAGAGGAGGGGGUGAUCUUCUUCCUUGAUCCACCUUCCACCACCAGCAACUAAUGGAGGUCAAGAGCUACCCUUCCUCCGAUCAUCAUCCACCUAUCACCAGCCGACGAUCCCACUUCAUCCCUCUGAUCCAGAUCUGAAAGGCAAUUCUGUUGCGACUGCAUGCGAAGAGGGAAGAAGCGGAAAAGAGGAGAAGCAAGCGGAUUGAAUCUGGUUUAUUCAUCUUUCAGUCGGCGAUCUUCUUCCUCGAAGCUCUGAAUGUAUCCAAUUGGAUAGGAGUGUUUGCUUCUACUUCCAUUGGUUCUCUAUUGCUGCUACUGAUUUUGGUAUUUCUGAAUUUAGCAUUGAUGUUGUCACUGGAUAAGAAUCUAUCGUCCAUUCGUCUGAAUUGAUCGGUUCCUCACGAAUCCGUGAGUGCUCGGGAUUCCCAGCUCACUUUGGUUUAUCAUUCCUCCCUUAUAUUUCUAUCUUCAUUUCUGCAUUUCUAUUACUGUAAUUUCUAGUUUCGUUUAGUUUCGUUUUGCUGCUUAAUUCUGUAGAUCUGAGUUAGCUGAGAUUGGAUGAAGCUUUGAUUUGUUUCUGUAUGUUCAUCUGAAUGCUUGUUAGCUCUACCGAUGAAGAUCUGAAUCUAAAUCUAUUUUGAUGUUAUUUGGUUGCAAGGAUUUGAAUUAUUUAGGUUAGAUGAAGUUGUAGAUUUGUUUUCUAUCUGUUCAUCUUCACGGAUUUGAGUAAAUCUCCUACCAUCUGACAAAUGGUUAGUUUGAUCCAUUGAGUAUCCGAUCUCUUGACUUUGAUUUGAUCUUGUUUUAUUCUUGUUUAGUCCUUGCUUAGUUUCCAAUCUAUUUGGAUAUGUUAAUGGUGUUAAUCCAUGGCAUAAAGUGACAGCAUGUUGUGAGUUUAUGAUUAAUAGAUUGAUAGGAUCUUUUUUAUCGCUUUAAAUUUAGUUUUAUAAUUGUCUUGUUAUUUCAUUCAUUAGUUUAAGAACUCAACGAAAUCUAAAACCCCAAUUUCUUAUCAAAAAUCCAAAAAGCAAUAACAAAUCAAUCCUAAGAUACCAUCAUUGUUACAUUCGUUGGGAGAUGACUUGAAUCAUCUCUAUGCUACAUUAGUGUAGAAUGAAUUCAGUCAUUUAAUUAUUUUGAUACCCAUUUCAUCACAAAAUUAUGGAUUUAUCAAAUUUGGAGUCGUUGUUGAGGAAUGUUAGUGAUGUUUGAUAACCUUAGGAUUAAUUUUCUCUUUUUACAUAAAAAUUAAAAAAAAUUAUUGUCAAAUUCGUUAAUGUUCAUAUAUCAAUGUGCUUGAUUUUAUAUGUUCCCUGUACCUUCUGAUCUUAUCUGCUAGUAUUUCAGUGUAAGAGUAGGAAGUUUCUUUGACCAUGGAUCCAUAUUAUCAGUACUAUCAGCCUCAAAUUUGGUUCUAUCAGUCUGAACAUCAGUACUACCCACCUAUGGAGCAGCAGAAUAUGUAUGAGUCAUUUCUUAAUACCUAUAAUUUUAAUAGGGUGGAUCAUUCAUAUUUCAGGUACGAGAUUGCACAUAGUCAGUUUACUAAGUCAUAUCCAACAUAUCGAAGCCCACGGGGAGUUCAAAAUGAUUAUAUGGUUAUGUAGAAGAGGAUUCGUGACAUUCAACAAUUCAAGGAGGAGACAUUACAUGAAUAUUGGAAGAGAUUCAAGGAACUUUGCUCCAUUUGUCCUCAACAUCAGAUCAGUGAUAAGUUGCUUGUUCUACACUUUUUUGAUGGGUUAUUGCCGAUUGAUUUGUACAUGGUAGAUAAAGAUAGUGGAGGGGCCUUGAUUGACAAGACUCCUGAUGAAGUUAUGAAACUUUUGGAAAACAUGGCAGUCAACUCUCAAUAAUUUAGAAAUGGACAACUGAUUACCAUAAGUGUUGAUGAGACCAUUCCUAUGGAUAUCGAGGUGCUUGAGAAGAGGAAUUGUAGUGUUUUUGACAAACCUGAUCUCGUUUCUAUUACUCCAUAAGACUCCUCUAGUAUUUUUUAUUGUGAUGCUGUAGUUGUAAGGAUUUCUGACUCUGCUGAUAUUGUUAUUGUAGAUGUUAUUGAUGAUGCAGGUACUAAUGUCGAAGAUGAGGAGGAGAGUGUAGAGGAUUGCAUAGUGGAAGCAAUACCCCAAGAAUCACCUCUUCCAGUUGCAUAAUCACUUGAACUAGAUGUUGAUGAUGUAAGUGUAGGGGGUUGCACAUUGGAAGCAAUACCCUAAGUAUCACCUAAACCAAAGCCUAAACCACUACUUGAUGAUGAGGAGGUCAUAGUCACCAUUCUAGGACCUCCAGGUACCUUUCAACAUCACAAGAUUAGUAUUUCUUGUGAUUCAUCAUAAAAUUUCAUAGAGGUACCAUUAAUUGACUUUAUUGGAUGUGAUGCAUUUCUUAAACCAUGUAGUGUAGAAACUAAUAUUUUUCCAUGCUUGCGAGAGGUGUCAUCUUUCAUUGAUUUUGCAAGAGAUUAUAAACUUCCGGAGUGGAUGCUUAAAUUGAAUCGUCUUCAACCUCCGGGGCAAAUUUUCGAGGAGCAUAUGGUGGGAGAGGUUUUAACUUCAAUGAAUAACAUUCCACUCCCUAAGUGGAUGAUCUUCUCAACCGACUCCAACCACCGGGAAGGACCAUUCCACUACUAGCAUGGAUGCUACUUCUAAACCUUUUGCAACCACCCGGGAAUAAAGCGAAGUGAAUUAUGGGAAUGUGUAGCUGAACAUGGUACACAACAAGUAAAGAAGAAAUUUUGAACUUUUGAGGUCAAAAGAGGAUGAUCAUGGUGUUCUUCAAAAACAGGUUAUGCUAGGAACUCCAAUCAUAGUGGAGUACUUUUGAAAAGGCAUUAAAAGAUCAUAGAUCCAAAUCAGAUCAAACUCAAGUGAGCUCAAUCUAGGUUUAAUGAGGAGAUCAAGUUCUGGAACCAUCUAAACCGUUCAUUCAAAAUAUGGAGCAAUCUAAGCCAUACAUCAGAGAUCUACUCCAUCCAAGCCAAGGGGAAGUAGAUCACAACCAUCGAUCAGGAUUUGAAGUCCUAGAUUAAGAUUUGAAUGAUUUCCGCCAUUGGAUCAUAUCUGAGUUGAUUAGAGCCGUUGAUCUAGAUCUGAUGAGAUUUAAAAAGGGAAUGAAUAGCUACAGUUGCAAGCUUCAUCAAAUUGCUACAGAGGCGAUUGCUCAAAAUAAAGGAGGGGGCGAUCUUCUUCCUUGAUCCACCUUCCACCAUCGGCAACUAAUGGAGGUCAAGGGUGACCCUUUCUCCGAUCAUCAUCCACCUAUCACCAGUCAGUGACGCCACUUCAUCCCUUUGAUCCAGAUUUGAAAGUCAAUUCUGUUGUGACUGCAUGCGAAGAGGGAAGAAACGGAAAAGAGGAGAAGCAAGUGGAUUUGAUCUGAUUUAAUUUCUUAGACUUUCAGUCAGCGAUCUUCUUCCUUGAAGCUCUGAAUGCAUCCAAUUGGAUAGGAGUGUUUGCUUCUACUUCUAUUGGUUCUCCAUUGCUGCUACUGAUUUUAGUAUUUCUAAAUUUAACACCGAUGGUGUCAUUGGAUAAGAAUCGAUCGUCUGAAUUGAUCGGUUCCAAACUAAUCUAUGAGUGCUCGGGAUUCCCAGCUCACUUUGGUUUAUCAUUCCUCCCUUAUAUUUCUGUC